ACUGUGCACCUGGGUUGUUUGCGCCUCCGACGUCAUCACGUGGACAAACGCGCUCCACCACGAAUCGGAAUCCACACAUCGCGCCGGGCUACAUCACCGAGCGGUCACGGCCACGCAUAUUAGCACCAGAGAACCUGACUGAUCAUCCUACUGGCGAGGCAAAUCCAUAAUAAAAGACUAAUGGACAGCUUUGUCAUUGACACUUUGACAGAGUGGCAGCUGACAGACUUUAUAGAAAGAUUUAAAGAGGAGGAGAUUGAUGAGGAGAGUUUUCGUCUUUUAGAUGAGGCUACCAUCAACCAGUUGAUCCCAAGAGCUGGC